GCCGGAGACCGCAGGUGGCGUCUUCCAAGGAGGGGCAGCAGGCGCGCACGUCAAGGGCCAGCGAGCAUCCUCACCUCUCCCUCCGUCAGGUGACGCCGUGUUCCAAUUAAUAAAUCAGCAGGUGGUCCCUGAAGGCGUAGAAGAGGACGUGCUUGAGCUCCUCCAGUGUGAUCCUCUGCAUGUCAAACUGCGGGCACACAUUCACAGAUGUAACUAUAGCUCCUUGAUGAACGUGGGAACGCUAGAGUGGACCCAGUGAGGACCUUGUCCUUGGGGAGGGUGAGGUCAGUGAGCUGAUUGUUGCUGUACUUAAUAAACUGGUUGCACCCCCACCCCGGCAACAUCCCAGCCAGGCUGAGGGGAGGAGCAGGUGGCCUCAGAUAAGAGGAAAAGUAUGAAACAUUUAUUUUCCUGUGGCACAGCGACUGUCCUCCAGCAGCCAGUGACCUUUACGCUGCAAGGUGGUGAUGGAGGGGCUCUCGGGGGCGGGGGGUGUGGGUGGGGCAGUCAGUGUGAAAAGAGGGAAUGACAUCACAAAAAAAAAAAACCAAAAAACAUUCUGGCCGUCAUUCACGGCAUCAGGAGUUCUCAUCUGGUGUGUGAAAAGCUGGCUGCCCGUGUCGGCUUUGGAGAACACGUGAUCUCUAUCUGGGAGGAAACAGUCCAUCACUCCGCCUUUUUUUCACCCAUCAGCAUCUCAGAGGUGCCUGGAAUAGGAUAAUUAUUUUCUACGGGAAAAUUUGACCUCGUUUUCGUCUGGUGUAUGAACAAAAACGACACUAAAUGACACUUAACUCCGCAGACCGUUUCGGACUCACCAUCGUUGAAUGUUGAGUCUCUGCAUGAUGAUGGCCAGCUCCACCUCGCUGGGCAUGUACCCCAAAGAACGCAUGGCCAUUCCCAGCUCCUGCUUGGAUAUGAAGCCGUUCCCAUCCCGAUCCAGAACCUUGAAGGCCUCCCGGAUCUCUGCCACACAAAUAGGAAGUCAACUCAGGACACGGGAGCAGAUUCUUCAGUGUUUAUAAUGAUUUCCUGCCAUGAUUGAGCGGUCUGUCGAGUAAAUAUUUCCACACACAGCAUUUCAUUCAUCUUAUAUAUCCGCCACCUCGCGAUGUAAUACGUUUUAUCAUUUAUACGGGUAUAAAUCAUCUUGGAAGAAUUUCAUUGGACAAAUCUAUACCGGUAUAACGUUACAUAAAAUAUAUCACCCAACCCUAGUUUAUACCACAUAGCCCAGUAACAGGAUCACAGAUGGCCAACGCUAGCAUAGCAAGCUACGGAGCUAGUAAGUAAGCCUUUCCCAUUUACUUAUUCUCAACUUAAGAAAGGGCCUCAAUCGGAGUGGGAAAGGAGAACAAAGAAGCUAAAGGUGUACCACUUCCACACAGAAUGAGAGGAGAACCUUUAUAGCCUAUUUGAUUUCAGCUCACUGCGACAUCACAGUGAGCCGGCGUUAGAAAAAAGAACACUUCCAAAUGCGCAAACCUCAUUAUCUGAAACUUUGGCAUGGUUUAACACGAGAAUACAACAUUGUAACUCCAUUUAUGUGUCAGAAAAGUCGAAAAGCAUCAUAGGUCCCCUUUAAGCCAAUACCGUCUAUAAAAAAAAUUCUGGGGUUUACAGCCUCGAGUGUCCAUUUUGUGAGCGGGAUGAUGUCAUCAUGCUGCGCAAAGGCUGUCCAAAUUGGAAAGUGCGGCCGCCAAAUGUACGUGCAAUAAGCCCCAUCUGUCCUUCACGAUCCUCCAUAUCCAUUCGCUUCCUUCCCGUGGUUUCACAUCACGU